rnacentral:rRNA from 1 species
AGAACGAACGCUGGCGGCGUGGAUUAGGCAUGCAAGUCGUGCGCGAAAUGGUCCUUCGGGGCCAGAGUAGAGCGGCGAACUGGUGAGUACAAGGUGAAUAACGUGCCCUUAAGUUGGGGAUAACCCCGGGAAACCGGGGCUAAUACCGAAUGGUUUCCGUGGUGUGCGCAUCGUGGAAUAAAGCAGUAAUGCGCUUGAGGAGCGGUUCACCCCCCAUUAGCUAGUUGGUAAGGUAACGGCUUACCAAGGCUACGAUGGGUAGCUGGACUGAGAGGUUGGCCAGCCACACUGGGACUGAGAUACGGCCCAGACCUCCGUACGGGGGGCAGCAGUCUAGA